rnacentral:lncRNA from 1 species
AAUUCUGUUUGUUGUAUUUGUUAAAGAUAAAUCAUUUUGAUAGAACUGACAGCUUAUGAAAUCUUUAUCAAAUAUGUAAAUAAGCAAAUAUAGCUUUUAAAAUCGUGUUACCUAAGCACUUAAAUAACUUAUUUUUUAAAAAAUUAUAUUAGCCUAUAUGCUGUUAGGGAACUGUUUAUAAUCUCUGAGAAAUAAAUAAGCUAAACAUCAAUAUUUGCUAAGCAAUAUAUUGACCUGUUCUUUUUCUCAUGUUUGUAGAUAAAGAGAAAGUGGCCCAAGGUUAACCGAGAUCUUGCUGCUCGCAUUAUUGAAAAUGAAGACGCCGAAAAUGAGAAGAGAGAGGAUGAUGACAAUGAAAGCAAGAAAAAGUUAAAGAAAAAGAAAGGUGCCCUUGGCCAUG